AUACAUGCAGUCGAGCGGAACCUUGGAGCUUGCUCCUUUUGGUUUACGGCCGAACGGUUGAGUAACACGGGGGCAACCUGCCUGGCAAAUCGGAUUAACUCCGGAAAACCGUGGCUAUUACCGAAUAGUUAAUAACCUCUCCGGAGGUUAUACGGAAAGACGGUUUCGGUUGUCACUGCAGGAUGGGCCCGCGGCGCAUUACUUAGUUGGGGGGGUAACGGCCCACCAAGGCAACAAUGCGUACCCAACCUGAAAGGUGGAUCGGCCACACGGGAACUGAAACACGGCCCAAACUCCUACGGAAGGCAGCAGUAGGAAAUCUUCCGCAUGGAACCCAGGUCUGACGAACCACCCCCCCGGGAGUGACAAAGGUUUUCGAAUCGAAAAAUUCUGUUGGGAGGAAAAAACAAUUACCACUUAACUACGGGUACCUUGACGGUACCUCACCAAAAAGCCACGGUUAAUUACUGGCCACCACCCGCGGUAUUACUUAGGUGGCAGGCGUUGUCCGAAAUUAUGGGCGGUAAAGCGGGCGCAGGCGGCCCCUUAAUCCUAAUGUGAAAGCCCACGGUUCACCGUGGAAGGGUCAUUGAAAACUGGGGAACUGGAUGGCAAAGAAGGAAGUUGAAAUUCCCCUUGUACCGUGGAAUGGCUUAAAGAGGUGAAGAACCACCAGUGCCGAAGGCAACUUUCUGGUCUGUAACUGACGCUGAGGCGCGAAAGCGUGGGGAGCAAACAGGAUUAGAUACCCUGGUAGUUCACGCCGUAAACGAUGAGUGCUAAGUGUUAGGGGGUUUCCGCCCCUUAGUGCUGCAGCUAACGCAUUAAGCACUUCGCCUGGGGAGUACGGCCGCAAGGCUGAAACUCAAAGGAAUUGACGGGGGCCCGCACAAGCGGUGGAGCAUGUGGUUUAAUUUGAAGCAACGCGAAGAACCUUACCAGGUCUUGACAUCCCGCUGCCCGCCUAGGAGACUAGGCUUUCCCUUUGGGGACAGCGGUGACAGGUGGUGCAUGGUUGUUGUCAGCUCGUGUCGUGAGAUGUUGGGUUAAGUUCCGCAACGAGCGCAACCCUUGAUUUUAGUUGCCAGCCUUCAGUUGGGCCCUUUAAGGUGACUGCCGGUGACAAACCGGAGGAAGGUGGGGAAGACGUCAAAUCAUCAUGCCCCUUAUGACCUGGGCUACACACGUGCUACAAUGGACGGUACAAAGGGCUGCAAACCCGCGAGGGGGAGCCAAUUCCAGAAAACCGUUUUCAGUUUGGAUUGCAGGCUGCAACUUGCCUGCAUGAAGCCGGAAUCGCUAGUAAUCGUGGAUCAGCAUGCCCCGGUGAAUACGUUCCCGGGCCUUGUACACCCCCCCCGUCACCCCCCGAGAGUUUGUAACCCCCGAAGUCGGUGAGGUAACCACUUGUGGAGCCAGCCGCCGAAG
rnacentral:rRNA from 1 species